CCGCAGUAAAAAUCACUGUUCCUUCUCGCUAUUGUGACGAACGUCGACCAGUGGUUUAAUUAACACCAUGCUACAGUAAAUUGUUACUACUUUAUGCGAUAACCAUUUUGCCCCUCAAAAUUUGAUGAGCCAGCUUUUCUAAUUUCAAUUCCUGCUCCUACUCCUCCCCAAUUGGUGCUCUCUUCACCGGCGACUAGGUAAAAUAUGCGCCUUUUUCCCGAUUCGUUCGCAGAUCUGCUCUUCAUCCUCUCCAAAUUGGUGCUCUCUUCACCGGCGACUAGGCAGCAAGGUAAAAUACGUGCCUUCUUCUGAGUUUUUUUGGAGUCGCAUCAGUUUUGAAUCCCCGACAAUCAGCGAAGAAUAAUUGAGGGAAUUUUGUCAAUUACUUGAGGGUAUAAAUGGAAUUUCAUAGAUUAAACUAUAUCCUCACCCUCGGUAUCAAACAUUAAUUCCCCUUUUCUCAACUUUAAUCACCCGCUAUCAAAUAAUAAUUACUUGUAGUGACGGUAUUAAUUAUCAACUAUCAAACAAGAGCUUUUACUAAUAGCCACUACUACUUUUAUCUUGAAGAAUAAUAUUUGCUCAUCUCUAGAAUGCUAUCAAAUAGGCCCUAAUAGUAUUUGUUUCUAACUCGAUUAAACGCGAUGUUACUAUUUAUUUCUGUCACAAAUUCACACUGUAAUUACCCCUAAUUAACCAAACUCCUUUUAAGUUAUUCAUCUCAAUAAAGGCUCGAACAUUAUAGAGUAUAGCAAAACAUAAGCUAUUGUAUGACCAAAUUAAAUUGGCAAUAUAAUUCGAAUGAUAUUAAUCAUAAUCACUACUCCAAUUAAAUGUGAGCUUUUAGUUGAGAGAAUAGACGUAUUCUUUUCUUUUAUUUAGAUUUUCAUUUAUUGAAAUCUCAUAAAAAGUCAAUAUGGGAAUAGAGCCAAUUUGUCAAUAAAAAUGUGAAUUUUUAAUUGGAAGAAUAUAAAUAUACUUUUAUAUAGAAUUUCAUUUAAAAAAAAUCCAUAUGCGACAGGGCAAUUUAGAAAGAUAAUAAAAAAUCAUAAAAAUGCCACGAAGAAUGAUGGAUUGAUGUGGUGCAUUUAUUCCAUUGCUCACUAAGUGCAUGUAUAUUAAUAUCUACAACAUUUUAUUUCAAGAUAAACAUCAUGUCUGCUACAAGAAUUACCUUCCUAGUUGACUUCACCCUAUUUCCCUUGAAUAAUCAUAAAUUAAAAAUGCCAGCCUUUAGCUCUCCAAUAUCUUUGGGCAUUCUCAUUUAGACGUGCUUUUCUCAACUUGAGAAAUAGCUUGUAAGCCACAUCAACUUUAUUUGAAUCCAUCAACCUAUUAUUGAGUUUGCUAGAAAUGAUUUUGCUAGGGAAUAAUCCCUUGCUAAUACAUUCCUCCAUAACCACCACUGCACAUUCAAGCCUCCCUGUGUUGCACAGACCAUUUAUGAGAUACUCAUAAACCUGCAUAUCACAACCAUACCCACUCUCUUGCAUUUCCUCCCAUAUUUUCACCAGCAUUCCACAUUUCCCAAACCUAGAUAGCCUCAUCAACAGCAGCUUAUACCCUGUCAUCGAUAUUCUACACCCUGCUUUCCUCGCCUUGUUAUAAACCAUCAACGCAGCAUAGGGCGGGCCGUAGCUGCACAAAGGUCUCAAUAUCUCGGUCAAAGUCCCCGUUGAAGGAACCAUGCCUCGAUCAAGCAUCACAUCGAGCAAUUCUAUGGCAUCCGAAACUCUUCUCUUUUUGAGGAAAUACAGUAUUAUUCUGACACAAGUAUCCACGUUCGGCUCAAAACCAUCGCGUAGCAUCCCCUCGUAGUAUUUCACCGCCCCAUCAAUGUCAUGAUUAGCAAUACAAUUGAAGAUCAUAGCAUUGUAAACCUCACUACUUAGUGCACUCACUUUCUCUUUCUCCUCCAAGUAUUUGAAAAUCCUGACCGCAUCAUCGAACCUGCCAGCUCUGCCAAACCCCUCAAUGACAUAACUAUGAGUAACACAGUUAGGCUCCACUCCAUCAUCCACCAUCAACUUCAAAAACUUCUCAACUUCAGUAACUCUACCGAACUUCGACCACCCUCCUAUGAUAAUAUUAUACAUCGAACUAUCACAUUGCACCUUCUCUCUCAUUCUAUUAAACAACAAACAUGCUGUUCCUACAUGUGAUCGCUGUGACAAACAACUCAAUGCAACACUCAAAGUUUCCUUGUUGCAUUCUAACCCAUACUUCUCCAAUUCCCCAAAAAUACUUGUAGCUUUGGAAACACGGUGAGCACGAAGAUAGCUAUCCAUAACAAUGAAAAGGGUCUCAGAAUUCACGCUCACCCCUCUGUUCCCCAUAUCUUUCACCAUUUCCAUCAUAUGCACAAAUGAUUUCCUCCUACCCAAUGCUUUAACCACUAUAUGAAAGGCACCAACACCUUUUGACAAAUUUGGCUGCUCCAUUGCCCAAUCAAAAAAUACUAACAUUGCCUCGCCACUUAAGUCUCCAUUGUUCACUACUUUAGAAAAUAUGUCAUCAUUUAAUUCUACACCAACCCCACCCAAUGCGCAAUGAAUUGCAGUUUUGCUGCAGAGUUUCUGCAGGAAAACUCCUCGCAACUUAUCUUCAGGCGGCAGAAAAUCAUCAGCAGCCCUAAUAUCCAAUUGAUUGCACGAUGAACUUACAUCACUAGGGCUCCGGAUUGAUAUGGGAAAAAUAUCGCAGAGCUGGUUCAGUAUAUGACGUUCAUCACAGCUAGAACUAUUAUUGUUUAAGGUAUUUAUGACAAGUUGCUCUGUCGAAUAAUGAGUUGUGAAAACCAGAUAGGAAUGAUGGAGCAGCAGCGAACUGCGCCAGAAUUUGUUUAAUGAAAUCCCUCUAAUAAACAUUAUCUCGAUUGGAAGCACCAAUAUUUUGAUCUGACUCCUGCAACUCUGUGCCCAAAGAAAAAAUAAAUAAACAAGUACAAUACAAAUUGUAAUUCAAGCAUAAUGUAAAAGACACUUCACAAAUGUUGUUACUAGUAUCUAACAGUAACUAAGGAUCAAGACUAAUAAGAUGAUACCAAAAUUCUUAAGGAUAGAACAAAGGACAUAAACAUCAAUUUGGUCGUAUGUAUAUAUAUAGCAUAGUAAUUACAUUUUUGGACACAUAAACCAAAAGACAUAAUUGAGUCAAAUUUAUCAAUGAAGUCUGAGCAAUUCAGAUCCUCCAAUGAUGGGUAAGCAUAUAUUCUUUAUAACGCACUUAUGUUCAUACGAAAUUAGGAUGCAAUGAUAAAUAAUGAACUUACAAAAUGUGGUAAAGGUUUUACAUGUCAUUUAUUUUUCUCUCAUAAAGCGAAGCUAAGUUUUGUACGACUUGAUCUAGAAGUUUCUCCUUCAUAUCAAGGGCAAAAAAAGAUUAAAUGAAACUACAUUCUGGGAUUUUUUGACAAGUUAAAAUCCUUUUAGAUAAAUAGUGAAAAAUCUUAUCCUCUUAACUUAAGGGACUCCUUGGUCAUUAAAAGGUUCACAUCAACAUGAUGUUGGACAAAAAGAAAUCAGUCUCAUUUAGUAGGAAAUAAUUGGAAGGUGUGUCUCCUUAGGCUUGUACUUCACUUCAAGGUACAUAAGUACGUGCAGAAAGCCAAUUAACAUGAAGGCUAUUACAAGGUUUAAGAAAAGACACUGUAUAGCUAGAGCAUAGUAAUUAAUGUAUAUGAUACAACUUAUAGAAAUUGAUACAGACAUAUAUUAAGGAUAAAAUUAAUGGAAAACAAAAUGAUCAGACCUAGUGCUAAAUUGGACAGAUCUAUUCUUAAUAAAAGGUCCUGGUGAUUUAGAAAAUUUGGCAAACAAAAAAGAUUCUGAUCAAUAUCCGUGUUACCCGUCAGCCACUCACAGAAUAAUAUCACAAUUGGAAAGGGCCAUAUGCAAAUUUUUCAAAUGCCUAAAUGCAGAAUAUAUCAUUCUAGAAAUAACAAAAUGGAGCUAUCAACUUUAAGAUUUUGAGUUGUCUCUUGGAUACCAUCAGCGUUUUGAGUGAUUAGUUUAAAGGAAUCCGUGAGACCAUGGGGUCAUAAAUUUAGAGUUAGGAAAAAAGAAUACUAACACAAACUAAUUCAACAGAACCCAGAAAAAAACUGCUUAUAUAGAAUUCUUGAUCUUAGUGGAUAGGUUAUCAAACUUAAGGAUAUACUGAUGACUGAUCACAUUGCAAUAAGAGCCUAAGAAACAACUCAACUCAAAGUAAUUUCCAGCCCUCAACCCUGAAACUACAGCUUACCUAUGUCUACAACAGUUUUAAAGAGGAAUAGAUGAGGACAUGAAAAAGGAUCAAGAAUAGGGAGGGAACUGGGAACAACAAAGCUACAUCUGACUUUGGAAAAGGGAGAACUUGAAGAAUAAUAGAAACUCAUAGAGCAAGAUAUGCUUACGGCAGUGGCUGCCGAUUGCUAAGAUCUAUAAACAUGUAUUAUAAACUUCUGUAACUGAGCAGUGAAGCAUGACAAUGGACUGGGAUUUAAAUAGGCUACAGAACACUCUAGUAACUGAGGUGACGGUAGAAACAAUGGGAACACACACUUCACUAAUUUUAGAAGGAAAUACUCAAUAAUAGAAUAUCGUAUUUUACUUGAGAUGGAGAAUCCUCUAAUAGAAUUUACCAGGAUAAACUACGUCCAUGAUCUGCCAAAAGGAAAACUAAUUUGUAAGAGAAGACAUCAACACUCAAUAAAUUACUUGUGUGAUGCUUUCAGGUUCUUCACGAGAAAAGAGCAGCCAAUUUCAGCACGAAUAACCUCGAUUGUAGAGGGCAAUCUAUGGCCAUAGCUAUCAUAUGUAGAAUAAGUAACCAUUUAGAAAUAGUGCGUUAUUGACAACAUGUAUUGUGAACAACGGCAAGCGCACAAGUAGCAUUGCUCCUUAGAAACCAGUGUAACCAACACCGAUUUCUUCAAAUAUCCUACUUCCGUAGCCACUUUGCCAAGAGGGCUCUAAAAUUAUUUAAAAACAAAAUAGAGUUUUGAGCCCUAAUUCAAGCCUUGAUUUGAAUGAAAAUGACUUACCUGUUGGUUGCCUGUGAAGGCUCGACAGAGGCGCCGAGCAGAGCGGCGGAGGCCGGACUGGUGCAGCUGGGCGAAUGCAGCGCGCGCACUGCUGCAGGCUUGCAGCGCCGCUGCCGACGUGAGGAGGCGGGGCGGCGGCGGGGAAACCGGCGGACGACAGAAAGGCGAGAAAGAGAGUCAGAGACUCAGAUUUUAGUUUAUUUGUAAUUAGAAAUUUAGAAUUUCAGUUUAAAUUAAGUAUAAAAAUUAUACUCAUCCCGUCAUCCGCCCUUAAAAUAGAGUUCCAGGUAACUACAAGUUUUAAGAAAAUUGUUAAAGUAAAUAUUAGUGGAG
rnacentral:lncRNA from 1 species